UACCAGCACCCCGAGUGGUCGGGACGAUUAUUGGGCCUAAAGCAUCCGUAGCCGGUUUUACAAGUCCUCCGUUAAAUCCAGCUGCUUAACAGAUGGGCUGCGGAGGAUACUAUAAGACUAGGAGGCAGGAGAGGCAAGCGGUACUCAGUGGGUAGGGGUAAAAUCCGUUGAUCCAUUGAAGACCACCAGUGGCGAAGGCGGCUUGCCAGAAUGCGCCCGACGGUGAGGGAUGAAAGCUGGGGGAGCAAACCGG
rnacentral:rRNA from 1 species